CUACGGGCCGCUCCAGUGAGGAAUAUUGCACAAUGGGGGGAACCCUGAUGCAGCAACGCCGCGUGGAGGAUGACGCAUUUCGGUGUGUAAACUCCUUUUAUAUGUCAAGAAAAUGACGGUAGCAUAUGAAUAAGCACCGGCUAACUCCGUGCCAGCAGCCGCGGUAAUACGGAGGGUGCAAGCGUUACUCGGAAUCACUGGGCGUAAAGGACGCGUAGGCGGGUUGGAAAGUCAGGUGUGAAAUCCUACAGCUUAACCGUAGAACUGCACUUGAAACUUCUAAUCUAGAGUAUGGGAGGGGGAGAUGGAAUUAGUGGUGUAGGGGUAAAAUCCGCAGAUAUCACUAGGAAUACCUAAAGCGAAGGCGAUCUCCUGGAACAUUACUGACGCUAAGGCGUGAAAGCGUGGGGAGCAAACAGGAUUAGAUACCCCAGUAGUC
rnacentral:rRNA from 1 species